AGAGUCCGAGACUUCAGAGGAGGAGCUGGAAGGGAUGGCGAGAGCCUUGUGACGCCAUCACGCGGUCAUGAUGUCACUACGGUGGAGGCUCUAAAGGAAGUUCUAGUCUCCACCACGAAGCUUGCCUUAGGAGCCCUGGGGUUGUCCCUGUGUGCACUGCAUUCAGGGUUGGUCUGGAUCCAACGUCUCACUCAUCCCCCGAGGCUGGAGCCUUUGGUGUCUCUCAGGGGUACUCAGGAAACUCUUCCCAUUCUGGGUAUGGCUGCUGCCUGUGGUGUGAAUCCUCCUGCACUGGUGACUGUAAGAAUUAUUGUGGAGUGCGAGUCUGCUGAUGAAAACAUUACAGAAGAAGGAAGCGAGGCCUGUGUGUGCCCUGCACUUCAGCUCCGUCUGCGCCCGCAGGUGAGGAGCCUGUGGGAACAGGAGGGACCUUGUGCACCUCAGCUCUGCCUGGAGCAAGCUCAGGCUGGAGGAAGCAGUUGUGAGAUCUGAGUACUUGUGGUCAUAGGCGCCAAUGGGCUUGCCAUCCAACAACACGCGGCCGCCCUGCAGAGGGUAGAAGUUCUCCAGGAUGUUCACACACGAGCUCUUCCCGCUGCCGGAUGGCCCCACCAGAGCUGUCACCUUGCCGGGGGACAGGCUGAAGGAGACAUUCUGCAGGGACACAAGAUGUUCCAGUUUCAGAGGCAGGAGGACAGCCCCCUGUCUGCCCUGUGCGGUGCUGCUGGCCUCUGAACGGUCUUCCUAAGAUACCAGGA
ensembl:lincRNA Gm34086 predicted gene, 34086